UACCUGAUUGAUCCUGCUAGUAGUCAUAUGCUUGUCUCAAAUAAUAAUCCAUGUAUGUUUAAGUAUGAAUAGAUUCAGAUUGUGAAAUUUUGAAUGGCUCAUUAAAUCAGUUAUAGUUUGUUUAAUAGUAUCUAAUACUCGGAUAACUAUAGUAAUUAUAGCGAUAAUACUUGCAACAAGCCCUAACUUAUGAAAGGGAUGCCCUUAUUUGUUAAAAGGUCAAUGUGGGCUCUGCCGGUUGCUGUGAUUAUUCAUGAUAACUCAACGGAUCACACGACCAUCAUGUCAGCGAUGCAUCAUUCAAAUUUCAGCCCUAUCAACUUUCAAUGGUAGGAUAGUAGCCUUCCAUGGUGGUGAUGGGUGAUGGAGAAUUAGGGUUUGAUUUCGAAGAGGGAGCUUGAGAAACUGCUACUGCAUCCAUGGAAGGCAGUAGGCACGUAAAUUACCCAAUCCUGACAUGGAGAGGUAGUGACAGUAAAUAACAAAACCGCGCACAAUAAGUCUGGUAAUUGGAAUGAGUGCAAUAUAAAUCCCAUAAUAAGUAUCCAUUGAAGGGUAAGUCUAGUACGAGCAGACACAGUAAUUCCAUCUUUAAUAGCAUAUAUUUAAGUUUUUAUAGUUAAAAAGCUUGUAGUUGUAGUUUGGGAUAGGCUAGAUGGUCCACUUAUGGUGUGCACCGAUGAUCUCAUCCCUAUUGUCGGUGAUACUCUCCUAGCCUUAACUAUCUGGGUUGUGACUUUGGUGCUGUUACUUUGAAGAAAUUAAAGCUCUCAAAGCAAUCCUACGCUUGUAACGCCCUAAAUCUGAUGCUUGAAAUGCUACAUAGUGCUCACGACCCCAAAGGACCACAAGCUAACCCAUGACUGAUAUCUGUACCUGUACACUG
rnacentral:ncRNA from 1 species